rnacentral:rRNA from 1 species
GAUGAACGCUGGCGGCGUGCCUAACACAUGCAAGUCGAGCGAAAACACGAGGAGCUCUUGCUCCUGACGUUAGCGGGGGACGGGCGAGUAACGCGUGGAUCACCUACUUCUAUGUCUGGGGUAACUACGGGGAGCAGGAGCUACUACUAGCUCAUAUAUUCAACCGCAUGGAUCAAUAGUUCAAGGCGGCUUGGCUGUCUGUUUUAGCUGAAUCCGGGCCGCAUUAGCUAGUUGGUAAGGUAACGGCUUACCAAGGCGACGAUGCGUAGCCGAUCUGAGAGGAUGAUCGGCCACACUGGAACUGAGACACGGUCCAGACUCCUACGGGAGGCAGCAGUGGGGAAUCUUGGACAAUGGGCGAAAGCCUGACGGAGCAACGCCGCGUGAGUGAUGAAGGCCUUCGGAUCGUAAAGCUCUGUUGUUAGGGAAGAAAAGAAGUGUAAUAAACUAUGGCCGUCUUGACGGUACCUAAACAAAAAGCAACGGCUAACUACGUG